rnacentral:rRNA from 1 species
UACGGAGGUGGCAAGCGUUGUUCGGAAUUACUGGGCGUAAAGGGCGCGUAGGCGGCUUUACAAGUCAGAUGUGAAAGCCCCGGGCUCAACUCGGGAAUUGCAUCUGAAACUGUAGAGCUUGAGUUCUGGAGGGGGUAGUGGAAUUCCCAGUGUAGCGGUGAAAUGCGUAGAUAUUGGGAGGAACACCUGCGGCGAAGGCGGCUACCUGGACAGAAACUGACGCUGAGGCGCGAAAGCUAGGGGAGCGAAC